UGUUUUUGUUCUAGCUUUAAUUCAUCCUAUAAUAUCAUUGCAUUAUUGUAUUUCUACUGAUUAAAGAAUUUUGCAUUUUGCAUUUUUCAAAAUGAUGCAAAGAAUAAAAUACAGCUUCAUUUUCUUUAAGAAAUUAUAAUUUUUUGCUACUUUUGAUUCUUCAAUGAUACAUGGACAAGCUUUUUUGACAUUCACUCUGAAAAUAUGUUUUUUCUUCUUUCUUCUUCAGAACGCUUCAGAGUAUGUGGAGAUCAGAGGAUAGGUGUAAGAAAAUAGGACACUCCACUCAGUAUCCGGCCGUUAUCUUUCCAUCUCUGUCUCUCCAUCUCUGUUUCUCUCUAUCUUUAUAAUCUCUCUCCUUAUCUCAUCCCUCGUUCCCAGUGUAACCGUAUUCUCCAUCUCUGCCGUCGGCUGCUUUUCACUCUCAGUAAUUGAGCUGAUGAUUAUGAUGAUGAUAUCUGAUGCGUAUCUUGACUUCGGGAUGCUAAAUCCAUCCUGUCAGUUCAUUUAGGAUUCACCGAGCUCACUGUUUCCGAUGCUGUCAAGGAGAGAAGCACGAAUAACUUAGGUUUGCAGGAUUCACGGAGCUCAAUAUAUCGAUGCUGUCGAAGAGCAAAGCACAUUUGCAGGAUGCAUGUGUCGUUCCACAUAAGACGAGGCACUCGUGCACACUUCAGAAGCAUUGUUUUCCUCCACUCUUUCUCUCUGGAUGUACAGAAACACAAUAAGUGAGUUAAUGAAUGUCUCUGUGCCGUCUGCUGCUCUCUCAGACAGAGUGAUAAAGUAGAGGAUGCUUCCAUUCAUUCAC